GUUUGACUCUAUAGCACCAUUCCUUAGUAUAUAUAAGACGGCAAAGUCCUUGGUUAUCGCAGUCGCUAGUCACAAGUUUUGGACACCGGCAGUCUGGCCCGCACACUCUCUGGACUAUAUAUUCAGGUUAAGCCUUAUGUUACAUAACUGUGCUGGUCAUUCUAUGUCUCCGUGUUUUCUACUCCCUCGCUCCUAAAAAGGUCAUCCUCAUCGCCUGACUGAUAAGAACUUGGAUAACGAGUUUCAAUUUUUUGGAAAAGAUUUGUCGGUCUUCUGUGGUUUUGAACUGGAUUCAAUCCAUUUUUCUUGCAUGUCGAUAUUCUAGUGGUUAAUUUUACAGUACCAGUAAUACAUUAUAUACUGUAAUUGUUCACAAAUUUAUUUUUUAAAUGCACUAACAUUGAUUGGUAGUAAUUAUAAAAUUUAGAUUUUCUCGUUAAUGAGACUAGAUUAGAUUGGUUCACGAAUUUGGGUUAUUAAAAUCAUGAUGUGCUGUAUGAUUACGUGGAGAGAAAGCUGAAACUUCUUGUUUCCAAGGGCAACCUAAAAUAACUGAUGAAUUAGUGUAUUGAAAUAUAAUUAUUUUCUCCGAUUUCUAUUUAGAUCCUCACAAUUCCUGCGCUGUUGGUGAUUCUGAAAUGGUUCGGUGACUGGCGACUGCACUACGUUUUUAUUCAUUACAGUACUGCAGUCGCCAGUCACUGAAUCCUGUAUCAUGACAUUCAGCAAUAUUUCUUCACUUUAUUUUACCUCCUAAUUUUUUUUUGUCUACCGAAAUAAAAGUAAAAGGACAAUAAACGAGAGAUGUAAAAUGCCA